GGAACGGGUGAGUAAUAUAUCGGAACGUACCUUUGAGUGGGGGAUAACUAGUCGAAAGAUUAGCUAAUACCGCAUACGAUCUCAGGAUGAAAGUGGGGGCUCGCAAGACCUCAUGCUCAAAGAGCGGCCGAUAUCUGAUUAGCUAGUUGGUGAGGUAAAGGCUCACCAAGGCAUCGAUCAGUAGCUGGUCUGAGAGGACGACCAGCCACACUGGGACUGAGACACGGCCCAGACUCCUACGGGAGGCAGCAGUGGGGAAUUUUGGACAAUGGGGGCAACCCUGAUCCAGCAAUGCCGCGUGAGUGAAGAAGGCCUUCGGGUUGUAAAGCUCUUUUGUCAGGGAAGAAACGGUCUGGGCUAAUAUCCUGGGCUAAUGACGGUACCUGAGGAAUAAGCACCGGCUAACUACGUGCCAGCAGCCGCGGUAAUACGUUAGGGUGCAAGCGUUAAUCGGAAUUACUGGGCGUAAAGCGUGCGCAGGCGGUUAUGUAAGGACCAGGG
rnacentral:rRNA from 1 species